CUGGAUGCAGCUUAGUGUCGGCACAUGUGCAGUUUAUGGGUGGUAGUGACCACUUCACCCCUUUCUCUUUGCUUGACUCUGAAACUCCAGCUCAUUCUUCUCUUUUCCCCAAAGCACCUGAUUUUUUGUCCUUGCCUCUGUCUGAACUUCUCUGCUCCUUGUGAAGGAAGAGGCUUAGCAGCUGGAAAAGAGCCAGUCCUUCAGCCACACUACUUGCAGUGUUUGUCAGGUCAACAGAAACUGCAGUGGGCUGACAGAUUUACUGAUGUGUAAAGAAGCCCCUUUGGAGAGCCAAACCACAACACUAUGGAACAGACAGUUAUGUUUGGGUUUCUGAACAAAACCUUGCUCUUUGUUUCAUAAGUUUUAUUAAAAGAGAUAAAAGAAUUACUACAUAAAUGUUAAAUGGAUAUCUCAUCUCUUGAUGACAAUUAUGCUUAUGGCAAGAACAUAACCAUCAAUCCUAAUGCCUGAAAAUGUUGGGGGAACUUCAAGAAACCAAGAUCUGACCACACAUUGCCAGAGUGCUUCAGAUCAGGAUCUCAGUAUCUGAUGGCAGAACAGCUCCAUGAAAAGGGAUUGUAAGCCGCACUUCCUAGACUGGUCGAGAGCCUGUGGGGCAGAACACUCCUUUGGGUAAUGAGAUAAGAUCACCAUCCGGUCUUAAAUAGGAGUCUCCAACAUCAGAAUCUUCACCACCAUACCACUUGUUAUUAAGUCGUUGUGGUCUGUUUGGUGUUUUCCUGAGCAUAUUAAAUGUUUUCUCACCAAGAUAAUAAUUCUCAAGAACUAGUAUAGUCUUGAUGAUAUGAAUCAUUUGACAGCAUUUCCAGAUUCCUUAAAAGAAAAAGUAAAAAAUAAAAGAGAAACUCUAUUAACUCUAGACUAUUUCAGUAAUAUAUCACACAUUGUCAUUCUAAAUAAAUCUGAUAGACUGUAAGUAUGUAUGUGUCCCAUGUUUGCUAUCAUAAUUCUGCUAUCCAGUUAAAAACUAUGCUUCAGAAAGCAUGAAAUAGGCUUAAAAUGGAUGUAAAAAUGAAAAAAAUGUUAAGUCCUUUUAAUCUGUUUACUGUUCUUAUUGACCAUGCAAUUGUAUCACAUUUUUAAGCUUUUUACUGCCAUGGUAGCUCAAAAUGUACUUAAUUUUUUGUUAAUGAAAGGUGAGGUUUUCUUCUAUUCCUUUGUCUCUAGGAAUUGUGACUCUAAGAUAUGAUGACUCAUUAAAAUAGUAAGAGAGAUAGUGAUAUUGCUCAAAAGAAAGUGGUACCAAAUGAUGCUCUUGAUGGUCUCUUGAUGCUACGCUAUCAUGGUGUCAUUGGUGGGAGAUUCUUCACUGAAAUAGAUUCAAAUGAGUAUUUCUUAAUAAAACACAAUUUAGAUUUUUUUUAAUAUAUUAAUUUUAUUGCAGAACUUGAAGGUUGACUGUAUUGCAAAUUUGGGUAUCAUCAGUUCAAUGUAGAUAAAUCUAAGUGAUACCCUGGAAAAAAGCAAUCUUAACUCCCCAUGUCGAGUGAUGGGAUCUGAAUUGAAUGUUACCACUUACGAAUGAGAUCUUAGAAUUAUAAUAAAUAAUUCUUAUGAAAGCAUCAGUUUAAUGCUAAGUGGCAAUAAAAAUGUAAAUUGAAUGUUAGGAAUUAUUAGAAAAGAAA